GCAACGGGGGAGCAAGGACAGAAGAAAGAGGUGCAGAAGGAGGAAGAGGAACAAGCAGGAAGGCGCCAGCGGAGGAGACGUGAAAAGAAGCAGGAGGAGACCGGCUCUCCAGGAGCUUAGCAGAAGAAACGGGCAGGCUGUGCUUCCACCGGGCGGACGGCUUCAUUUCGCUCCCUCUCUCGGCCACUGAUCACUCUGCGUGGGGCUGCAGCUGGCCUUGCAGCGUGGCAUUCCUGGUGCUGGACUUCAUGUCUUUGCACUCAGGAGCCCUGACAGGGGUGGGAGUGCGGCCUUCUCAGGCCGCCCUGAAUCUCUCUGCACCGAGUCCCUUGCCAUUGGGUGGGAGGUGGCUUGCUCCUGCUGGACCUGAAGUAUGUGCGCUGAGCCGCCCCUGGAUGGGACUGGGGGUAUUGCUUUUUCGCGCCACUGCUUUCUGUAUGUGCGCUGAGCUGCCCCUGGGUAGGCUGGCCUGGGGGUGUUGCUUCCUCGCGCCGAGCCUUAGAGGUAUGUGCGCUGAGCCGCCCCUGGUCGGGGCUGGGGGCGUUAGCUUUCUCACGCCGAGCUUGAUGCCAUGUGCGCUGAGCCUGCCCCUGGCUGGGCUCAGCUUGGGGGUGUUGCUUCCUCUCGCGCCGAGCCUUCGGGUAUGUGCGCUGAGCCGCCCCGGGCUGGGGCUGGGAGCGUUGCUUUGUGCUGCCAGGCCUUAUGUCUCUGCACUGAGCCGCCCCAGUGAGGGCUGGGGGCGUUGCUUCCUCUCGCCACGAGCUUCACGUCUUUGCUCUGAGAAGCCCCUCAUUUGGCCAGGGGGUGGCUCUCUCCAAGCCUUGCUGCCUGACUUUGCCCUUCAUGCUCCCAGUGGUGUUGAGCUGGCCACUCCGGCCUGCCCACGGAGCAAGCUCGGGACGGUAGAAGUGUGGCCUCCCGGACCUCUUCCAGCAGCAGCAGCAGCCUCUGCUGGCUGAAGGCACACGCCUGACGCUUGGUGUGCUCACGCUCCUCCUUGGCUUGGGCUCUUGCGUGAGCAGGGCUGCUCCUCAAGAAGGCCUUCUGAAGAGGGAAAAGAGUCAAGAGCUGCGAGAAGCUGAUCUCUUGCCUUGGGAGGCAAAGGAGAGAAAGGGCAGAAGAAAGAAGUGCCGCAGGCUGGCGAAAGAGAAGCCGCAAGGAGCAACAGGAGGAGACCUGGACGGGGAAGAAGGAGGCGGAGAAGACUGGCUCUCAAGCAGCUUCACAGAAGGAAGAAGGGGGAGCUUCCGCUCCCACCAGCUGGAGGGCCUCAUUGCUGCCCUUCUCUCUGCUCCGUCUCCCUGAGUAGCCACUGGUUUGGGAGGGGCGUGGACAGAACAGGAUGGACUCGGUGUCCAUCCGCUCAGUGGCCCUUUCUUGAACUGGGCUGCGGCUUUCUUGUGCUGGACUUCAUGUCUCUGCACUUGGGGAGCCCUACAAAUAGUGAGAGGGUGGCCCUCAUAGGGGCCAUCCAAGGGGCAGCCCCUAUUUCAGCUGAGGUGUGGCUUUCUCGGGCUGGACUUUAUGUCUUUGCACUGGGGAACCCUACGACUGUGGGAGCGUGGCCUUCUUGGUGUCUGUAUACUGGAGAAGCCCGGAUUGGUCUGGGGAGUGGCCUUCUCGUGCUGGACUUUACGUCUUUGCACUGGGGAGCCCUACAAAUAGUGAGAGGGUGGCCCUCAUAGGUGCCAUCCAAGGGGCAGCCCCUAUUUCAGCUGAGGUGUGGCUUUCUCGGGCUGGACUUUAUGUCUUUGCACUGGGGAGCCCUACGACUGUGGGAAGUGUCUGUAUACUGGAGAACUCCUGAUUUGUCUGGGGGCGUGUUUCUCGUGCUGGACUUCACGUCUCUGCACUGGGGAGCCCUACAAAUAGUGAGAGGGUGGCCCUUGUAGGGGCCGUACACGGAGCAGCCCCCAUUUCGGCUGAGGUGUGGCUUUCUCGUGCUGGACUUUAUGUCUUUGCACUGGGGAGCCCUACGACUGUGGGAAGUGUCUGUAUACUGGAGAAGCCCGGAUUGGUCUGGGGAGUGGCCUUCUCGUGCUGGACUUCACGUCUCUGCACUGGGGAGCCCUACAAAUAGUGAGAGGGUGGCCCUCGUAGGGGCCGUACACGGAGCAGCCCCCAUUUCGGCUGAGGUGUGGCUUUCUCGUGCUGGACUUCACGUCUUUGCACUGCGGAGCCCUACAAUUGUGGGAGCGUGGCCUCUUUUUGAUUAUUAUUAUUUUGACAUUUCUAGCCCGCUCUUCUUCCCAGGAGCCCAAAGCGGUGUACUGCAUACUUGUUUCCCCCCCUCCCACAACAACCCUGUGAGUAGGUUAGGCUGAGAGAGAAGCGACUGGCCCAGAGUCACCCAGCUAGUAGCAUGGCUGAAUGGGGAUUUGGACUCGAGUCUCCCCGGUCCUAGUAAACUAGGGAACCCCUGAUUUGGCUGUGGUGCCGGUUUCACGUGCUGGACUUCACGUCUUUGCACUGGGGAGCCCUACAAUGGUAAGAGUAUGGCCAUCGUAGUGGCUGUAUACUGGGGACCCCCGAUUUGGCUGGGGAGCGGCUUUCUCAUGCUGGACUUCACGUCCUGGCCCUGGGGAGCCCCGAAAGAGGUGGGAGUAUGUCCUCCCCAGACGAGCCUGAGUGUCUGUAUGCUGCGUGGCUGCUCAUUUAUCCGCAGGGUGCCGUUCCUCGCUGCGUGACUUUGCCCUUCAUCUUGCAAGUGGUGAUGAGUUGGCAUCUCCCAACUGCCCCGUCCCUAGUCUUCAGCUUGGCGCGCCCUGCCCACGGAGAAAGCCAGGGACGGUGGAAGUGCGGCAUCCAUGACCUCUUCAAGCAGCGUGGUGUGCCGAGGAGCGGGCCCUGCUGGCUGGCUGAAGAAGGCACACGAAGGCAACGGGGGAGCAAGGACAGAAGAAAGAGGUGCAGGAGGAGGAAGAGGAACAAGCAGGAAGGCGCCAGCGGAGGAGACGUGAAAAGAAGCAGGAGGAGACCGGCUCUCCAGGAGCUUAGCAGAAGAAACGGGCAGGCUGUGCUUCCACCGGGCGGACGGCUUCAUUUCGCUCCCUCUCUGGGCCACUGAUCACUCUGCGUGGGGCUGCAGCUGGCCCUGCAGCGUGGCAUUCCUGGUGCUGGACUUCAUGUCUUUGCACUCAGGAGCCCUGACAGGGGUGGGAGUGCGGCCUUCUCAGGCCGCCCUGAAUCUCUCUGCACCGAGUCCCUUGCCAUUGGGUGGGAGGUGGCUUGCUCCUGCUGGACCUGAAGUAUGUGUGCUGAGCCGCCCCUGGAUGGGACUGGGGGUAUUGCUUUUUCGCGCCACUGCUUUCUGUAUGUGCGCUGAGCUGCCCCUGGGUAGGCUGGCCUGGGGGUGUUGCUUCCUCGCGCCGAGCCUUAGAGGUAUGUGCGCUGAGCCGCCCCUGGUCGGGGCUGGGGGCGUUAGCUUUCUCACGCCGAGCUUGAUGCCAUGUGCGCUGAGCCUGCCCCUGGCUGGGCUCAGCUUGGGGGUGUUGCUUCCUCUCGCGCCGAGCCUUCGGGUAUGUGCGCUGAGCCGCCCCGGGCUGGGGCUGGGAGCGUUGCUUUGUGCUGCCAGGCCUUAUGUCUCUGCACUGAGCCGCCCCAGUGAGGGCUGGGGGCGUUGCUUCCUCUCGCCACGAGCUUCACGUCUUUGCUCUGAGAAGCCCCUCAUUUGGCCAGGGGGUGGCUCUCUCCAAGCCUUGCUGCCUGACUUUGCCCUUCAUGCUCCCAGUGGUGUUGAGCUGGCCACUCCGGCCUGCCCACGGAGCAAGCUCGGGACGGUAGAAGUGUGGCCUCCCGGACCUCUUCCAGCAGCAGCAGCAGCCUCUGCUGGCUGAAGGCACACGCCUGACGCUUGGUGUGCUCACGCUCCUCCUUGGCUUGGGCUCUUGCGUGAGCAGGGCUGCUCCUCAAGAAGGCCUUCUGAAGAGGGAAAAGAGUCAAGAGCUGCGAGAAGCUGAUCUCUUGCCUUGGGAGGCAAAGGAGAGAAAGGGCAGAAGAAAGAAGUGCCGCAGGCUGGCGAAAGAGAAGCCGCAAGGAGCAACAGGAGGAGACCUGGACGGGGAAGAAGGAGGCGGAGAAGACUGGCUCUCAAGCAGCUUCACAGAAGGAAGAAGGGGGAGAUUCCGCUCCCACCAGCUGGAGGGCCUCAUUGCUGCCCUUCUCUCUGCUCUGUCUCCCUGAGUGGAGGAUGAUUUACCUGGAGCCUGGCUGCUUCAGGAGGCUUGGGAUGUCCCUGCCCUGAGUAGCCACUGGUUUGGGAGGGGCGUGGACAGAACAGGAUGGACUCGGUGUCCAUCCGCUCAGUGGCCCUUUCUUGAACUGGGCUGCGGCUUUCUCGUGCUGGACUUCAUGUCUCUGCACUUGGGGAGCCCUACAAAUAGUGAGAGGGUGGCCCUCAUAGGGGCCAUCCAAGGGGCAGCCCCUAUUUCAGCUGAGGUGUGGCUUUCUCGGGCUGGACUUUAUGUCUUUGCACUGGGGAGCCCUACGACUGUGGGAGCGUGGCCUUCUUGGUGUCUGUAUACUGGAGAAGCCCGGAUUGGUCUGGGGAGUGGCCUUCUCGUGCUGGACUUUACGUCUUUGCACUGGGGAGCCCUACAAAUAGUGAGAGGGUGGCCCUCAUAGGUGCCAUCCAAGGGGCAGCCCCUAUUUCAGCUGAGGUGUGGCUUUCUCGGGCUGGACUUUAUGUCUUUGCACUGGGGAGCCCUACGACUGUGGGAAGUGUCUGUAUACUGGAGAAGCCCGGAUUGGUCUGGGGAGUGGCCUUCUCGUGCUGGACUUCACGUCUCUGCACUGGGGAGCCCUUCAAAUAGUGAGAGGGUGGCCCUUGUAGGGGCCGUACACGGAGCAGCCCCCAUUUCGGCUGAGGUGUGGCUUUCUCGUGCUGGACUUUAUGUCUUUGCACUGGGGAGCCCUACGACUGGGAAGUGUCUGUAUACUGGAGAAGCCCGGAUUGGUCUGGGGAGUGGCCUUCUCGUGCUGGACUUCACGUCUCUGCACUGGGGAGCCCUACAAAUAGUGAGAGGGUGGCCCUCGUAGGGGCCGUACACGGAGCAGACCCCAUUUCGGCUGAGGUGUGGCUUUCUCGUGCUGGACUUCACGUCUUUGCACUGCGGAGCCCUACAAUUGUGGGAGCGUGGCCUCUUUUUGAUUAUUAUUAUUUUGACAUUUCUAGCCUGCUCUUCUUCCCAGGAGCCCAAAGCGGUGUACUGCAUACUUGUUUCCCCCCCGUCCCACAACAACCCUGUGAGUAGGUUAGGCUGAGAGAGAAGCGACUGGCCCAGAGUCACCCAGCUAGUAGCAUGGCUGAAUGGGGAUUUGGACUCGAGUCUCCCCGGUCCUAGUAAACUAGGGAACCCCUGAUUUGGCUGUGGUGCCGGUUUCACGUGCUGGACUUCACGUCUUUGCACUGGGGAGCCCUACAAUGGUAAGAGUAUGGCCAUCGUAGUGGCUGUAUACUGGGGACCCUCGAUUUGGCCGGAGAGCGGCUUUCUCAUGCUGGACUUCACGUCCUGGCCCUGGGGAGCCCCAAAAGAGGUGGGAGUAUGUCCUCCCCAGACGAGCCUGAGUGUCUGUAUGCUGCGUGGCUGCUCAUUUAUCCGCAGGGUGCCGUUCCUCGCUGCGUGACUUUGCCCUUCAUCUUGCAAGUGGUGAUGAGUUGGCAUCUCCCAACUGCCCCGUCCCUAGUCUUCAGCUUGGCGCGCCCUGCCCACGGAGAAAGCCAGGGACGGUGGAAGUGCGGCAUCCAUGACCCCUUCAAGCAGCGUGGUGUGCCGAGGAGCGGGCCCUGCUGGCUGGCUGAAGAAGGCACACGGAGGAAAAGGGGAGAAAAGACAAAGCAGUACAGAAGGAGGAAGAAAAACAAGCAGAAACGAGAAACAA